GAUCCUGGCUUAGGACGAACGCUGGCGGCGUGCCUAACACAUGCAAGUCGAACGGGGAUUUGUUUCGGCAGAAUCCAAGUGGCGAACGGGUGAGUAACGCGUAGGCAACCUGCCCUCCGGCCGGGGACAACACUCCGAAAGGGGUGCUAAUACCGGAUACGAAGUCUGUGCCGCAUGGUACGGAUUUGAAAGAUGGCCUCUAUUUAUAAGCUAUCGCCGGGGGAUGGGCCUGCGUCCGAUUAGCUGGUUGGUGGGGUAACGGCCUACCAAGGCGACGAUCGGUAGCCGGUCUGAGAGGAUGAACGGCCACAUUGGGACUGAGACACGGCCCAGACUCCUACGGGAGGCAGCAGUGGGGAAUCUUCCGCAAUGGGCGCAAGCCUGACGGAGCAACGCCGCGUGAGUGAGGAAGUUCUUCGGAACGUAAAGCUCUGUUGUUCCUGACGAACCUCCCCUCUAUCAACAACGGAGGGGACUGACGGUAGGGAACGAGGAAGCCACGGCUAACUACGUGCCAGCCGCGGC
rnacentral:rRNA from 1 species